CCGUAAUCGGAAUGAGUACACUUUAAAUCCUUUAACAAGGAUCCAUUGGAGGGCAAGUCUGGUGCCAGCAGCCGCGGUAAUUCCAGCUCCAAUAGCGUAUAUUAAAGUUGUUGCGGUUAAAAAGCUCGUAGUUGGUUCUGCGUGCCGCGCUGUCGGUUCGCCGCCUGUCGGUGUAACUGGCAUGUCGCGGCAUGUCCUGUCGGUGGUGUGCGGGGUCAGAGGUGCUGCGUAGGCUAUUACAGCCGAAGUAUGUGCCUUCUGUAUACCCGUUCACCGAUCUCUCCUACUCCGGUGCUCUUAAACGAGUGUCGAGGUAGGCCGACACGUUCACUUUGAACAAAUUAGAGUGCUUAAAGCAGGCUGAAAUAUCUGCCUGAAUAGUGGUGCAUGGAAUGAUAAAACAGGACCUCGGUUCUAUUUUGUUGGUUUUAGGAAUAUGAGGUAAUGAUCAAUGUGGACUGGCGGGGGCAUUCGUAUUGCGACGUUAGAGGUGAAAUUCUUGGAUCGUCGCAAGACGCACUAGAGCGAAAGCAUUUGCCAAGUAUGUCUUAAUUGAUCAAGAACGAAAGUUAGAGGUUCGAAGGCGAUCAGAUACCGCCCUAGUUCUAACCAUAAACGAUGCCAGCCAGCGAUCCGCCGAUGUUCCUUUAAUGACUCGGCGGGGAGCUUCUACUCGGGAAACCA
rnacentral:rRNA from 1 species